rnacentral:lncRNA from 1 species
ACACAUAUACAAUUUAGUGCACUCCCACAGAGUGUCACACUGGGAUUGAAGACUUACAUUCACCCUGUUUGUCCGCUCCUCCCAAUAAACCGAACAAAUUCAUAUUUGGUCAGCAGAUGAGUUAUGACAUGUGAGCACUUUCAAAUUAGUCAGAUGUUGCUUGAUGUUGACACAUGAAUGCUGAGUAUCCUUUUUAGUAACUCUUUU